ACCCUUGUGGAGGAGGACGCCGAAGGUGGGGCUAAUGACUGGGGUGAAGUCGUAACAAGGUAGCCGUACCGGAAGGUGCGGCUGGAUCACCUCCUAACAGGGAGACAACAAAAUGUUUAAUAUUAUUAUUUUGUCACCUUAGGUCGAUCGGUAUCUCACGUUUUUAAUUUAUUAAGAAUUUCAUUUCCUAAGUUUUUCUAGGUCACACCCAUCAUUUUUCCUGGGCCAUUAGCUCAGGUGGUUAGAGCGCACCCCUGAUAAGGGUGAGGUCCCUGGUUCAAGUCCAGGAUGGCCCAUAUCUCUAUGUUGGGGGUAUAGCUCAGUUGGUAGAGCGCCUGCUUUGCAAGCAGGAUGUCAGCGGUUCGAGUCCGCUUACCUCCACUGAUCACCACCUCUUCCAUAAUCGGUAGAAAGGAAAUUUUUUGAGUUGUGAUCAAAUUCUGAAAGAAUCUAGCUUCCUAAUGAAAUCAUUAAGAUGCUGGACUCAUUGAAUUAAUUUCAUUGUUUUCAGAGAACCUUGACAACUGCAUAGAUUAUUUUUAAAGACAAUAAGCAUCUUUAAUGAUGCAGAUUUAUUAUUUGUGCAAAUGCAUUAAUAACAAUUCUAUUAAGCUGAUGCUUCAAUAUUUGAAGUUAUUGGUCAAGCUACAAAGGGCUCACGGAGGAUACCUAGGCACACAGAGGCGAUG
rnacentral:misc_RNA from 1 species